rnacentral:lncRNA from 13 species
AUGUUCCCUCAUAGAUUACCCAAUCCACUCUCCACUCUAUACUUAAGUCUCUUCUAUCUGUAUAGAUACAGACUGAAUCAGAUGUCUUCUAUCUGUAUAGAUAUAGACUGUAUCAGACAAAGGCAGACCCGUCUCAAACAAACUCAGCAGUUCUUUAUUUUUCUUCUUCUUCUUCUUCCUCCUCUUCUUCCUCCUCUUCUCUCUUUUUCAAACUCAGUGAUGGACACCUCUCCUCUCCUCCACCCCCCUGAUCACCAGCACCCCUCUCACUCCCCCACCAAUACCACCACACCCCUGCACGUUCAUUCACCCACCAUUUCUGCUGGUUGGAAUGCCACGUCGCUGUCUUCUGCCCAACUAUUGGCCAGGGAUGGAAACAGAAUCAUCCUCGUUAGUUCUCAUUGAAGACUUAAAUUUAGCUUAUAGCUCUCUGCCGGUGGCAAAAGUGUGUGUUUUAUGUGUCUGUGUGUCUAGUCAGACUGUCAUGUCAAACAAAAGAUGAGGGGAAAAACUGUGUAUAUGUGUGUCACCCUAAAGUAAAUAGUUACACAUUUACAUUUGACUUUACAUGUGCACGAAAAUACAUGGAGACCAUGUUUUGUUUGAGAGAGGCAGACAUGUGAUAGAUCUUCUUAUGACAUUUAAUCACAUUUCUGCCCUUGUAUCUGGAGGGGGAUUCUGUGUGGCUGUUCAUUUCUUUGUGCAUGUUUUCCAGGUGUGGAAAAUAACAUCAUUUGUCAUUUCAGGUGUUGGUAAACUGCAUGGGGCUACAGGAGGCACUGACACAGUGAGGGGGAGAUUAUGGGGAGGACAAGGGAGGUAAACUUCACAUGUUGUCCGUGGUAAUGAGAUUAGAAAAAAAGGAGGUUGUUGGGAUGAAGAUACUUUGGCGAGAGAGACUUAUCUUGUGUGUUAAGUCAAACCAAAGUCCAUAUGUAUCAGUAAAGAUAAGGCCUCAGCUUUCUCUUUCAAUAUCCUUACCCUGAGCUUCUGUUCUGAAGGAUUGUUAGGCUAUGCAAGGUGGUUAGUGUAGUUCUGAACGCUUGAUAGGCUAUGCAUGGGGGUUAGUGUAGUUCUGAAUGAUUGUCAGGAUAUGCAUGAUGGUUAGUGUAGUUCUGAAUGAUUGUUAGGAUAUGCAAGGUGGUUAGUGUAGUUCUGAACGCUUGAUAGGUUAUGCAUGGGGGUUAGUGUAGUUCUGAAUGAUUGUUAGGAUAUGCAUGGUGGUUAGUGUAGUUCUGAAUGAUUGUUAGGAUAUGCAUGAUGGUUAGUGUAGUUCUGAAUGAUUGUUAGGAUAUGCAUGGGGGUUAGUGUAGUUCUGAAUGCGCUCUGUUCUUUUAGCUGUGGUCAUAGGGAGGGAGCUAGUGUGACGCACACCACGGUUCAUUAAGGCAACAGGAACUAGAUAUCUCUGUUUACCUCAAUGCUGUUUAACCAACUAUCCAUCAUCAGAUGUGAGUAGUUUGAAUGUUUCUUUCAUUCCUCUUUCAGUACGGCCACACAGACUCCUGAUACAAUACUACAAACUGCAUUAAAAUGUCUUCACACUGUUUUGUUGGAUGUAUAGUUUGUUGUGUACUGCAUUAGUUUAGGUUGUUAGAUAACAUUCCUGUCUUAGAAAUUUUAAGCGUCUUACAUUUAUUAGUUUUUUUUUAAUGCUUAUAAUUGAAGUGUGCUAGUAAUAUAAAUUCUACAGUCAUGUAAAAUAGGUUGUAACAAUAAAAAUAAAAAUAAAAAUUAAAGCAUCAAACGCAUCUCGGUUGUAUAAGAGGAAUAAAAUAAACUCAAAUAAAAAAUGUCUAUUCUCCAUGUCUGUUUGAGUCAAAUAUGUUCUGAUAAGCCAUUGGAUCAUUUAUUUCAGGGAUCGAGGUAUGGGGCCACAAACAAUCUGAGCGCAUCAUGAGAGGGGGCCGCAGUGGCUCCCGGGUCUGCAUACCCAGACAUGCAAUCAGAGCAGGCCUUAGACUUUUUGGAGAAAAUGUUGCAGUUUUUAAGCAAAUUUACUGCAAUUCAACAAAUUUUGCUAUGAGGAGGGAGAAAAAUGUGCAGUUUUAUAACUCGUUUCCUGCAAUUCUACACAUGUUGUCAUGAGGUGGAGCAAACUGUUUGCACACACAUUUCUGCCCUUGUAUCUGGAGGGGGAUACUGUGUGUUUAUCAUUUCUUUGUGCAUGUUUUCCAGGUGCGGAAAAUAAAAUCCUUUUCCAUUUCAGGUGUUUGUAAACUGCAUGGGGCUACAGGAGGCACUGACACAGUGAGGGGGAGAUUAUGGGGAGGACAAGGGAGGUAAACUUCACAUGUUGUCCGUGGUAAUGAGAUUGGAAAAAAGAAGGUGGUUGCUGGGAUGAAGAUACUUUGGCGAGAGAGACUUAUCUUGUGUGUUAAGUCAAACCAAAGUCCAUACAGUGGGGCAAAAAAGUAUUUAGUCAGCCACCAAUUGUGCAAGUUCUCCCACUAAAAAAUAUGUGAGAGGCCUGUAAUUUUCAUCAUAGGUACACUUCAACUAUGACAGACAAAAUUAGAAAAUAAAUCCAGAUAAUCACAUUGUAGGAUUUUUAAUGAAUUUAUUUGCAAAUUAUGGUGGAAAAUAAGUAUUUGGUCACCUACAAACAAGCAAGAUUUCUGGCUCUCACAGACCUGUAACUUCUUCUUUAAGAGGCUCCUCUGUCC